rnacentral:rRNA from 1 species
CCCUUAGAUGUUCUGGGCCGCACGCGCGCUACACUGACGGAGGCAGCGAGCAUGUCCUUCGCCGAGAGGUGUGGGGAAUCUUGUGAGUCUCCGUCGUGCUGGGGAUAGAUGGUUGCAAUUGUCGAUCUUGAACGAGGAAUUCCCAGUAAGUGCGGGUCAUCAGCUCGCGUUGAUUACGUCCCUGCCCUUUGUACACACCGCCCGUCGCUGCCCGGAACUGAGCCGUUUCGAGAAGACUGAGGAUUGCUGACUUGAGGCCUUCACGGGCUUCUAGUCGGUGAAAAUCAAUUUAAUCGCAGCGGCUUGAACCGGGCAAAAGUCGUAACA